AGCAGCCGCGGUAAUUCCAGCUCCAAUAGCGUAUAUUAAAGUUGUUGCAGUUAAAAAGCUCGUAGUUGAAUUUCAGGCCUGGCUGGACGGUCCGCCUUUUGGGUGAGUACUGUCUGUGGUCGGGUCCUACCUUCUGGCGAAGCGUCAUGGCCUUAACCGGCCGUGGCGGGGAACCAGGACUUUUACUGUGAAAAGAUUAGAGUGUUCAAAGCAGGCAAUCGCUUGAAUACAUUAGCAUGGAAUAAUGGAAUAGGACAAUGGUUCUAUUUGUUGGUUUCUAGGACCGUUGUAAUGAUUAAUAGGGAUAGUUGGGGGCAUUAGUAUUCAAUUGUCAGAGGUGAAAUUCUUGGAUUUAUUGAAGACUAACUACUGCGAAAGCAUUUGCCAAGGAUGUUUUCAUUAAUCAAGAACGAAAGUUAGGGGAUCGAAGACGAUCAGAUACCGUCGUAG
rnacentral:rRNA from 1 species